CUGGAACCAACUAGGCACACGAGUUAACCAAUUAUCUAACAAUACCUUACUUGCAGAGUUGUUGCUUACUACACCCGAUAGGUCGCACGAAGUGGGAUUUUCUAUGGGAACUGCUAACCGACAAGGGUAUCAAACAAUUCUUUGUUGCUGUUAAGAAAGAGGAGUGAAAGUUUGAUACGCUUUGUGAUCUUUAGGGUGGAUUGGUUUGCUAAAAAAAUGUGCACCAAUAACUUCACGAUAUUAGCUAUGCAUAGUGACAUGCCCCAACAAGAAGGGAUGCAAUUAUGGGUGAGUUUUAAGUCUGGCGCAACUCAUGUGCUGAUAACUACGGAUGUUUGGGCUCGAGGAUUGGACGUUCACCAGG